rnacentral:lncRNA from 1 species
UCUGCCAGGAAGUGAAAAACAACAGGGCAAUUUGUCUGAGGUCAUGUGCAGAUUUAUGCACAUUACCUAUGAUUAACAUGGGUAUAAAUUAGGAUAUUGUUUCCUGGCAAACGUGCGCUCUAAGGAAUGAAGAUGUGCAAAUGUGUUCGUUCAUUUUAAGUGAGGUGACACCAUGCACACUCACAUUCACACUUCUUUGUAUCUUGCAGAGUGGCAUGUGCAGGAUGUAGACUGGAACAGGUGUGGUACCCGUAGGUCCUUUAUGAAUUCAGGAGGCGUGAUGGAGCUGCCGAGGAUCGGUGGGAUGACAGUGUAGAGGACAGAGAGAGUUCAGAGGAAAAGAAAGAAGGAGGGGAGACGGGGGUUUACACUUUGAUGACACUUCAAAAACUGUGCCAAGACUAAGCUAUCAGCCCUAUCUGAGAACUAACUAGCAUAUGUGUGCCCUCUUUUACAAUCCCUUGUGAAAACAAAACACAACGCAACAACAAACAAUGCCAGCAACAAACAAGGCCUUCUAUUUCUUCAACCAACAAAACAAGAACGACGGCAGGCUGCAGUAAUUUCAUUAGCCUGUGAGGAAAAACAGCUAUUAACGGCAAUUCAAUACACUGGGUGAAUUCACUGCACUUGGACUUUGGAUCAAUGUGACUGAUAAUUAUCUGACUUGGGUUUUUACGUUCUCAUGCAGCCUAUCCCACAGUGCACAUUCCCCAACUUCACUGACCUCCCUAGACAGUAACAAAUGGGCUUGAUGGCUUGGCUGAUGUUUGCAUAUAUAAUGUGGAAGGGAUUCUCUCGACGCUUGCCUAAAAACCAAGCUUUGUCAUCAAUCUCCCCAAUAUCCUGAGUCCUUCUACUCUUCCAAAGCCCCAAUCCCCAGGCAAUGGCAAUACAGCCUCCGACGCACGGCCCAACCUCUCGCUCUCCUCUUCAUGACGAAUGAGUUUUAAUAAAAGCUGACGGAGUGAUGAAAUUAAAAGUGCGUCCCAUGGCCUCCGAUUGCUCCAGCUGCUCAAUUACAGUGCAUAUCUCAGCACCCUCACCCUCGGUUCACCAGCAUUGUCUUACAUCACUAUUGGCGUAAUAAAAUUGGACUCAAUCGUCGUCAGCCCCGAUUGUUGAAGUCUAAGUCGUUGUUCUGAUAGACACCCAAAGAGAAGUGCGUCUUCCCCUAACCUAAUAAAAUCUGCCUUCCUCGACCUUAUUAGCUAGUAUUAUGUCGAUUUCCCAUGCUACCUCAUUAUGGCAGUGAUGGUGUACCCGAGGAGGUGGGUAAUGAGAACAAGUGUGUGUCUUUCUAAGGGAAAAGUCCCAUAAGCACUAACUGACAGUCCUAAUCUGCCCGUCACCUCGUUUGGAAAAAGCAUCCUUUGUUUUAGAUUAUGCAGCAUCCUUAAUCC